UGAAGCGGUAACAGCUCAAAUUUGAAAUCUGGGUCUUUUAGGCUCCGAGUUGUAAUUUGUAGAAGAUGCUUUGGGUGCGGCCCCGGUCUAAGUUCCUUGGAACAGGACGUCAUAGAGGGUGAGAAUCCCGUAUGUGAUCGGUGGCUUGCGCCCGUGUAAAGCUCUUUCGACGAGUCGGGUUGUUUGGGAAUGCAGCUCUAAAUGGGUGGUAAAUUUCAUCUAAAGCUAAAUAUUGGCCAGAGACCGAUAGCGCACAAGUAGAGUGAUCGAAAGAUGAAAAGCACUUUGGAAAGAGAGUUAAACAGUACGUGAAAUUGUUGAAAGGGAAGCGCUUGCAACCAGACUUGCGCGGGGUUGAUCAUCCGGGGUUCUCCCCGGUGCACUCGGCCUCGCUCAGGCCAGCAUCGGUUUUGGUGGUUGGAUAAAGGCCUUGGGAAUGUGACUUCUUUCGGGGAGUGUUAUAGCCCUCGGUGCAAUGCAGCCUACCGGGACCGAGGACCGCGCUUCGGCUAGGAUGCUGGCGUAAUGGUUGUAAGCGACCCGUCUUGAAACACGGACCAAGGAGUCUAACAUCUAUGCGAGUGUUUGGGUGUCAAACCCAUACGCGUAAUGAAAGUGAACGGAGGUGAGAACCCUUAAGGGUGCAUCAUCGACCGAUCCUGAUGUCUUCGGAUGGAUUUGAGUAAGAGCAUAGCUGUUGGGACCCGAAAGAUGGUGAACUAUGCCUGAAUAGGGUGAAGCCAGAGGAAACUCUGGUGGAGGCUCGCAGCGGUUCUGACGUGCAAAUCGAUCGUCAAAUUUGGGC
rnacentral:rRNA from 1 species